UGUGAAAUCAACAAUGAAUAGCAAUAUAAGAAUUGGACAGUAACAAAUAUUUAUCUCGGAGGCAACAUUGAAUGUUGAUUUUUGAAUAGAGGGAGUUCACACAUGCGCAGUGGCUGUAGCAGCAGCAGCACUUUGCUUCUCCCAACUGUCACUGCUGCACCUGGCGCGAAAACCGGAGAACAAUGGAGCUGUCAACUGAGGAGCUGCUCCAGAAGUUAACGGAUUCAGGAAUUAUACUGACUGAAGAAGAGACACAGAGAUUCAGAGACAAUGACGUGGAUGGAGAGACAGUAGAGUGCGGCUUGACUGAACAUAUGGUGGCAUUCCUUUUUUCUGGGUCAUUU